rnacentral:rRNA from 1 species
AACGAACGCUGGCGGCGUGUUUAAGACAUGCAAGUCGAACGGAUUGAAGUUGUAGCAAUACCGCUUCAGUCAGUGGCGCACGGGUGCGUAACACGUGAGCUACAUGCCCUGCAGUGGGGAAUAGCCCGCCGAAAGGCGGAUUAAUACCCCAUGGUCCCGCAAGGGUAAAGGUGGCGCAAGCUGCCGCUGCAGGAUUGGCUCGCGGCCUAUCAGCUUGUUGGUGAGGUAACGGCUCACCAAGGCGACGACGGGUACCUGGUCUGAGAGGAUGAUCAGGCACACUGGAAAUGAGACACGGUCCAGAAACCUACGGGUGGUAGCAGUCGAGAAUAAUUCACAAUGGGGGAAACCCUGAUGGUGCAACGCCGCGUGGAGGAUGAAGGUCUUCGGAUUGUAAACUCCUGUCAUCCGGGAGUAAGACCUGACGGUGAAUAGCCGGCAGGGUUGAUAGUACCGGAAGAGGAAGGGACGGCUAACUUCGUGCCAGCCGCCGCAGUAAAAC